UUUAAUUGAAGAGUUUGAUCAUGGCUCAGAUUGAACGCUGGCGGCAGGCCUAACACAUGCAAGUCGAGCGGUAACAGAGAGGUGCUUGCACCUUUGCUGACGAGCGGCGGACGGGUGAGUAAUGCUUGGGAACAUGCCUUGAGGUGGGGGACAACAGUUGGAAACGACUGCUAAUACCG
rnacentral:rRNA from 1 species